ACACUGAGGAGCGAAAGCGUGGGGAGCGAACAGGAUUAGAUACCCUGGUAGUCCACGCCGUAAACGGUGGGCGCUAGUUGUGCGAACCUUCCACGGUUUGUGCGACGCAGCUAACGCAUUAAGCGCCCCGCCUGGGGAGUACGAUCGCAAGAUUAAAACUCAAAGGAAUUGACGGGGCCCCGCACAAGCAGCGGAGCAUGCGGCUUAAUUCGACGCAACGCGAAGAACCUUACCAAGGCUUGACAUAUACAGGAAUAUGGCAGAGAUGUCAUAGCCGCAAGGUCUGUAUACAGGUGGUGCAUGGUUGUCGUCAGCUCGUGUCGUGGGAUGUUGGGUUAAGUCCCGCAACGAGCGCAACCCUCGUUCUGUGUUGCCAGCAUUUAGUUGGGGACUCACAGGAGACUGCCGGGGUUAACUCGGAGGAAGGUGGGGAUGACGUCAAAUCAUCAUGCCCCUUAUGUCUUGGGCUGCACGCAUGCUACAAUGGCUGGUACAAACGGCUGCGAUACCGCAAGGUGGAGCGAAUCCGAUAAAGCCAGUCUCAGUUCGGAUUGGGGUCUGCAACUCGACCCCAUGAAGUCGGAGUUGCUAGUAAUCGUAGAUCAGCAACGCUACGGUGAAUACGUUCCCGGGGCUUGUACACACCGCCCGUCACAUCACGAAAGUCGGUAACACCCAAA
rnacentral:rRNA from 1 species